rnacentral:siRNA from 1 species
AUCGAUUUGUGUCACUUUUUACAC